rnacentral:lncRNA from 1 species
CCGAGUGGUGCUGGGCGCCCCGCAGGCCUCGCGUGGGCCCCGUGGGUGACUGGCGGCUUCCCCCAGCCCGGGCGUCCCGUGCCGCCUCGUCGCCUGUCCCGGGGCUCGUCCCCGUCUGCCGGUGAUUUGCAGCUGCCUUGCCGUGCUGCAGUCACAAGGCAAUGCCUCACGGAUCGUCGGUGGCUGUUCGGGUUGGGCGCCGGGUUCCUCUCGGCUGGAGAGGCUCGUCCCUGCUCGCCCAAUGCAAUGAGUUCGGGGAACAUCGAGAAGGAAGACUUGCCAGACAAGAUCCAAAACCAGUGUGACCUUCGCCUUUCUUAUAAGGUGACUCAGAAACUGCGUAGAGGACUCCUGGCCAGAUCUGCUUGGUGCAGGAGUUUGAAGAUGCAUCAAGACUGAUAGUGAUCUUCCUGAAGAAGAG